UGGGGAAUAUUGCACAAUGGGCGCAACCCUGAUCCAGCCAUGCCGCGUGUGUGAAGAAGGCCUUUUGGUUGUAAAGCACUUUAAGCAGGGAGGAGAGGCUAAUGGUUAAUACCCAUUAGAUUAGACGUUACCCGCAGAAGAAGCACCGGCUAACUCCGUGCCAGCAGCCGCGGUAAUACGGAGGGUGCGAGCGUUAAUCGGAAUUACUGGGCGUAAAGCGAGUGUAGGUGGCUCAUUAAGUCACAUGUGAAAUCCCCGGGCUUAACCUGGGAACUGCAUGUGAUACUGGUGGUGCUAGAAUAUGUGAGAGGGAAGUAGAAUUCCAGGUGUAGCGGUGAAAUGCGUAGAGAUCUGGAGGAAUACCGAUGGCGAAGGCAGCUUCCUGGCAUAAUAUUGACACUGAGAUUCGAAAGCGUGGGUAGCAAACAGG
rnacentral:rRNA from 1 species